rnacentral:rRNA from 1 species
CAGCAGCCGCGGUAAUACGUAGGCGGCAAGCGUUGUCCGGAAUUAUUGGGCGUAAAGGGAGCGCAGGUGGGACGGUAAGUCCGUCUUAAAAGGCAGGGGCUCAGCCCCUGUAAGGGAUGGAAACUAUCGAUCUUGAGUGCCGGAGAGGAAAGCGGAAUUCCCAGUGUAGCGGAGAAAUGCGUAGAUAUUGGGAAGAACACCAGUGGCGAAGGCGGCUUUCUGGACGGCAACUGACACUGAGGCUCGAAAGCCAGGGGAGCGAACGGGAUUAGAUACCCCAGUAGUCCCUGUCUCUUAUACA